rnacentral:rRNA from 1 species
UACAGAGGUCUCAAGCGUUGUUCGGAUUCAUUGGGCGUAAAGGGCCAGUAGGCGGCCAACUAAGUCCGACGUGAAAUCCCCAGGCUUAACCUGGGAACUGCGUCGGAUACUGGAUGGCUUGAAUUCGGGAGAGGGAUGCAGAAUUCCAGGUGUAGCGGUGAAAUGCGUAGAUAUACUGGAGGAACACCGGUGGCGAAGGCGGCAUCCUGGACCGACACUGACACUGAGGAGCGAAAGCCAGGGGAGCAAACGGG